AGUCGAGGGGUAUGCUUCUUCGGAAGCAGAGACCGGCGCACGGGUGCGUAACGCGUAUGCAAUCUACCUUUUACAGAGGGAUAGCCCAGAGAAAUUUGGAUUAAUACCUCAUAGCAUAGCAACUUCGCAUGAAGUCACUAUUAAAGUCACAACGGUAAAAGAUGAGCAUGCGUCCCAUUAGCUAGUUGGUAAGGUAACGGCUUACCAAGGCUACGAUGGGUAGGGGUCCUGAGAGGGAGAUCCCCCACACUGGUACUGAGACACGGACCAGACUCCUACGGGAGGCAGCAGUGAGGAAUAUUGGACAAUGGGCGCAAGCCUGAUCCAGCCAUGCCGCGUGCAGGAUGACGGUCCUAUGGAUUGUAAACUGCUUUUAUACAGGAAGAAACCCUGGUUCGUGAACCAGCUUGACGGUACUGUAAGAAUAAGGAUCGGCUAACUCCGUGCCAGCAGCCGCGGUAAUACGGAGGAUCCAAGCGUUAUCCGGAAUCAUUGGGUUUAAAGGGUCCGUAGGCGGUUUAGUAAGUCAGUGGUGAAAGCCCAUCGCUCAACGGUGGAACGGCCAUUGAUACUGCUAAACUUGAAUUAUUAGGAAGUAACUAGAAUAUGUAGUGUAGCGGUGAAAUGCUUAGAGAUUACAUGGGAAUACCAAUUGCGAAAGGCAGGUUACUACUAAUUGAUUGACGCUGAUGG
rnacentral:rRNA from 2 species